CACGAACACAGGUGCUGCAUGGCUGUCGUCAGCUCGUGUCGUGAGAUGUUGGGUUAAGUCCCGCAACGAGCGCAACCCUUGUCACUUAGUUGCCAUCAUUGGUUGGGCACUCUAAGUGAGACUGCCGGUGACAAAACCCGGAGGAAGGUGGGGAUGACGUCAAGUCCUCAUGGCCCUUAUGGGUAGGGCUUCACACGUCAUACAAUGGUCGGUACAGAGGGUUGCCAACCCGCGAGGGGGAGCUAAUCCUACAAAGCCGAUCGUAGUCCGGAUCGCAGUCUGCAACUCGACUGCGUGAAGUCGGAAUCGCUAGUAAUCGUGGAUCAGCAUGUCACGGUGAAUACGUUCCCGGGUCUU
rnacentral:rRNA from 1 species